UUAUGAGAGUUUGAUCCUGGCUCAGGACGAACGCUGGCGGCGUGCCUAAUACAUGCAAGUCGAACGCUUCUUUUUCCACCGGAGCUUGCUCCACCGGAAAAAGAGGAGUGGCGAACGGGUGAGUAACACGUGGGUAACCUGCCCAUCAGAAGGGGAUAACACUUGGAAACAGGUGCUAAUACCGUAUAACAAUCAAAACCGCAUGGUUUUGAUUUGAAAGGCGCUUUCGGGUGUCGCUGAUGGAUGGACCCGCGGUGCAUUAGCUAGUUGGUGAGGUAACGGCUCACCAAGGCCACGAUGCAUAGCCGACCUGAGAGGGUGAUCGGCCACAUUGGGACUGAGACACGGCCCAAACUCCUACGGGAGGCAGCAGUAGGGAAUCUUCGGCAAUGGACGAAAGUCUGACCGAGCAACGCCGCGUGAGUGAAGAAGGUUUUCGGAUCGUAAAACUCUGUUGUUAGAGAAGAACAAGGAUGAGAGUAACUGUUCAUCCCUUGACGGUAUCUAACCAGAAAGCCACGGCUAACUACGUGCCAGCAGCCGCGGUAAUACGUAGGUGGCAAGCGUUGUCCGGAUUUAUUGGGCGUAAAGCGAGCGCAGGCGGUUUCUUAAGUCUGAUGUGAAAGCCCCCGGCUCAACCGGGGAGGGUCAUUGGAAACUGGGAGACUUGAGUGCAGAAGAGGAGAGUGGAAUUCCAUGUGUAGCGGUGAAAUGCGUAGAUAUAUGGAGGAACACCAGUGGCGAAGGCGGCUCUCUGGUCUGUAACUGACGCUGAGGCUCGAAAGCGUGGGGAGCAAACAGGAUUAGAUACCCUGGUAGUCCACGCCGUAAACGAUGAGUGCUAAGUGUUGGAGGGUUUCCGCCCUUCAGUGCUGUAGUGACCGAUAGUGAACCAGUACCGUGAGGGAAAGGUGAAAAGCACCCCGGAAGGGGAGUGAAAUAGAACCUGAAACCGUGUGCCUACAACAAGUCAAAGCCCAAGCAACGCGAAGAACCUUACCAGGUCUUGACAUCCUUUGACCACUCUAGAGAUAGAGCUUCCCCUUCGGGGGCAAAGUGACAGGUGGUGCAUGGUUGUCGUCAGCUCGUGUCGUGAGAUGUUGGGUUAAGUCCCGCAACGAGCGCAACCCUUAUUGUUAGUUGCCAUCAUUCAGUUGGGCACUCUAGCAAGACUGCCGGUGACAAACCGGAGGAAGGUGGGGAUGACGUCAAAUCAUCAUGCCCCUUAUGACCUGGGCUACACACGUGCUACAAUGGGAAGUACAACGAGUCGCGAAGUCGCGAGGCUAAGCUAAUCUCUUAAAGCUUCUCUCAGUUCGGAUUGCAGGCUGCAACUCGCCUGCAUGAAGCCGGAAUCGCUAGUAAUCGCGGAUCAGCACGCCGCGGUGAAUACGUUCCCGGGCCUUGUACACACCGCCCGUCACACCACGAGAGUUUGUAACACCCGAAGUCGGUGAGGUAACCUUUUGGAGCCAGCCGCCUAAGGUGGGAUAGAUGAUUGGGGUGAAGUCGUAACAAGGUAGCCGUAUCGGAAGGUGCGGCUGGAUCACCUCCUUU
rnacentral:rRNA from 1 species